UAAUUUUCACCAUAACUUUUUGUUAUGUUUUUUUAGAGGCUUUUGGUUAGCCAAUACGCGAGGAAGAAUCGAGAUCAAGAUCACCACAUGCAAUAAAGCAAAAGGCAGCUAAUUAAGCCGGUGAUCCUUUUUGAUCAGCCACUGAUGAAAUAAAGCUCAUAUGUUAGGGCAUCAAUUAGCUCUUGCAUGCACCUUUGUAAAAAGCAAGGGAGAGAAUAAUAAAGGGAUCAUAAAGCUGGAAAAAAGAGCGAUCGAUGUGUUCAAUUGGUGGUUAAGGAAUAUUGCACCUUAUAAGGCUUUAUUGGUUUUUCACAAGCCAUAAUUAAGAUUAUAACAUCGCGUUUUACUAAGGAAAUUUUUCUGAAGAAAACGGAGAAGAGAGAACGUCUCGCUGUUGCCUUUACCAUCUGUCUAGCUAGCUCGGAGAAGCGGAUCGAGAUGCCUGCAAUUAGUAAUGAUCAGGUACUGAUCAAUAAGCAGCAGUCAAGCAGUACUACUAUUACUAGUACCACUCAUGCAGCCAGCCGGCCAAGUACUGAUUCUUCUUCGCAAGAUAUUAAGCGGCCAUCUCCAGCAGAGGCACCAGCCGCCGGAAGGAAGCGAGCACUUCUUUGUGGGGUUACUUGCCGUGGCGCGGGGGAGAAUAUAAGUCGCCUCGAAGGACCUGUCAAUGAUGUGAA